rnacentral:misc_RNA from 1 species
CAGGAGCUCUUAAACUCCCAAACCCACUGUAAACUUUACCUUUACGUUGCUUCGGCAGGCGGCCCCUGGGAGGGGCUGUGGCCUUUACUGGUGCCUGCCGGAGGUUUUACAAAACUCUUUUUGUUGUACAUCUGAGUUUAUAUUUAAAUAAUCA